rnacentral:rRNA from 1 species
UACGGAGGGUGCAGGCGUUAUCCGGAUUCACUGGGUUUAAAGGGUGCGUAGGCGGGCAGGUAAGUCCGUGGUGAAAUCUCUGAGCUUAACUCAGAAACUGCCAUGGAUACUAUUUGUCUUGAAUAUUGUGGAGGUAAGCGGAAUAUGUCAUGUAGCGGUGAAAUGCUUAGAUAUGACAUAGAACACCAAUUGCGAAGGCAGCUUACUACACAGUUAUUGACGCUGAGGCACGAAAGCGUAGGGAUCAAACAGG